rnacentral:rRNA from 1 species
GAUGAACGCUAGCGACAGGCUUAACACAUGCAAGUCGAGGGGCAGCAACACUUUCGGGUGGUUGGCGACCGGCGCACGGGUGAGUAACACGUAUGCAACCUACCUACUACUAGAGGAUAGCCCGUUGAAAGACGGAUUAAUACUUUAUGACACAGGGGUGCCGCAUGGCAAUAUUUGUUAAAGAUUUAUUGGUAGUAGAUGGGCAUGCGAAGGAUUAGCUAGUUGGUUGAGGUAACGGCUCACCAAGGCAACGAUCCUUAGGGGUUCUGAGAGAAAGGUCCCCCACACUGGUACUGAGACACGGACCAGACUCCUACGGGAGGCAGCAGUGAGGAGUAUUGGUCAAUGGACGAGAGUCUGAACCAGCCAAGUCGCGUGAAGGAAGACGGUAUUAUGUAUUGUAAACUUCUUUUAUAGGGGAAUAAAAUGCGGCACGUGUGCUGUUUUGUAUGUACCCUAUGAAUAAGCAUCGGCUAACUCCGUGCCAGCAGCCGCCGCCG